rnacentral:rRNA from 1 species
UACGGGGGGGGCAAGCGUUGUUCGGAAUUAUUGGGCGUAAAGGGCGCGUAGGCGGUGCGGUAAGUCACCUGUGAAACCUCUAGGCUUAACCUAGAGCCUGCAGGCGAAACUGCCGUGCUUGAGGGUGGGAGAGGUGCGUGGAAUUCCCGGUGUAGCGGUGAAAUGCGUAGAGAUCGGGUGGAACACCAGGGGCGAAGGCGGCAUCCUGGCCCAGAACUGACGCUGAGGCGCGAGAGCGUGGGGAGCGAACCGG